UACGUAGGGGGCAAGCGUUGUCCGGAUUUAUUGGGCGUAAAGAGCGUGUAGGCGGUUUGGUAGGUCCGCUGUGAAAACUCGAGGCUCAACCUCGAGACGCCGGUGGAAACCAUCAGGCUAGAGUCCGGAAGAGGAGAGUGGAAUUCCUGGUGUAGCGGUGAAAUGCGCAGAUAUCAGGAGGAACACCGGUGGCGAAGGCGGUUCUCUGGGCCUUACCUGACGCUGAGGAGCGAAAGCAUGGGGAGCGAACAGG
rnacentral:rRNA from 1 species